AAAGCGGCCCUGGCAUUCAGUUGUCGGGGUCGGGCUUCUAAACGUUUACUGUGAAAAAAUCAGAGUGUUCAAAGCAGGCUUACGCCUUGAAUACAUUAGCAUGGAAUAAUGAGAUAAGACUUUGGCGGUCUAUUUUGUUGGUUUGCACGCCGAAGUAAUGAUUAACAGGGACGGUUGGGGUUCUUCGUAUUCAAUUGUCAGAGGUGAAAUUCUUGGAUUUAUGGAAGACGAACUGCUGCGAAAGCGUCGAACAAGGACGUUCUCAUUAAUCAAGAACGAAAGUUAGGGGAUC
rnacentral:rRNA from 1 species